rnacentral:rRNA from 1 species
GAUGAACGCUGGCGGCGUGCCUAAUACAUGCAAGUCGAGCGAACAGACGAGGAGCUUGCUCCUCUGACGUUAGCGGCGGACGGGGGAGUAACAAGUGGAUAACCUACCUAUAAGACUGGGAUAACUUCGGGAAACCGGAGCUAAUACCGGAUAAUAUAUUGAACCGCAUGGUUCAAUAGUGAAAGACGGUUUUGCUGUCACUUAUAGAUGGAUUCGCGCCGCAUUAGCUAGUUGGUAAGGUAACGGCUUACCAAGGCAACGAUGCGUAGCCGACCUGAGAGGGUGAUCGGCCACACUGGAACUGAGACACGGUCCAGACUCCUACGGGAGGCAGCAGUAGGGAAUCUUCCGCAAUGGGCGAGAGCCUGACGGAGCAACGCCGCGUGAGUGAUGAAGGUCUUCGGAUCGUAAAACUCUGUUAUUAGGGAAGAACAAAUGUGUAAGUAACUAUGCACGUCUUGACGGUACCUAAUCAGAAAGCCACGGCUAACUACGUG